GUCCUGUCUGUCUGUCUGUCUGGACAGAACAGAACAGAGCAGAACAGAGCGGAGASMACAGACGUGCUACAAUGUGAACCUCUGUGUCUGUCUGGCCCAUUGCCUGGGUUUACACCGUGUUCUGUCUUCAAACAGAUUCUUCUACGACAACCCCAUCCAGUUUGUUGGCCAGUCGGCCUUCCAGCACCUCCCUGAGCUGCGGACACUAUCUCUGAAUGGUGCAGCAGAAAUCACAGAGUUCCCGGACCUCACUGGCACCAAAGAGUCUUGAGAGCCUGACCAUCACUGGAGCUCGCAUCACAUCCUUACCCACCACUGUGUGUGACCAGCUACCCAACCUGCAAGUGCU